GUCUUCGUUCUUGAUUUGGGGUUCAAGAUACUGGUGUUUUGGUUGUUUGGGUUCAAAAUAUUGGUGUUUGGUGAUUGGGUUUAGGGAUUUGUUUUGUGUCUUGCAAGUUUGCCUGUUAUGUUCGUCCUUAGUUGCUUUGCUUUCUGUUUGCGACUUUGCAUAUUCAACUUGAUCUGACCGUGUGAUUGAAAAAAACUGAGUGCUCUUUCAAUUUAUCUCUGUUUGGGUUCACUUUAUCUCUGUUUUUCCCCCUUUUUCCUUUUCUGGUAUUGAUUUAUUGAUGGGCCUUUCUACUUGGGAUUCUAUUAGGAACUGUUUGAAAUUGUUGUUUAGUUUGUAUGAGUUGUUUAAAAUCAUGGUUUUGAUUGAGUUUUGUGUUUCUAAAUUUGGUCUAUUUUGUAUAUUACCAUGCAUGUAGGUCAAAGUAAUUUGGGUUUGAGUUUGCGUUUGAAUGAGUAUGUAUAUAUAUUUGAAUGGAUGUGUUCUAUGGAAUGAGUAUCUAUAUAUUUGGGCAGCAAUUUUGAAUGGCACUGAUAACAUGUUAAGCUUCUUUCAAUUGUAAUAUCGAUCAAGUAUCCUCUUUAUUGGUUCUAGAUAAACUAUGAAUAAUGUAAUAUGUUAUAGUUGGAUAUGAAAAUUCUCUUAAGUCACAAGAGUUCACUUUGGCAGACGUAUCUCUAGGUGUCCCAGCUGACCGUGGCUGAGGGAGGAUUAUCAAUCGUAAACCCCAAAUUGGAAUAUCCGGUUGAGCUGACACCCAUUUGAUCAAAUCAGGGGAUUCGAUUGAGCAAUCAGAGAUCUUUGAGGGAUUGAGCUCCAAGUCAAUGCUAGCAGAUCAAAUCGGCGGCUUCAAUUUUGUUUGGAGCCUUAGGACUAUCACAGUGGAACUGAGGACAGCUGUAUCUGUAUCUGAUAUUGAACCCAAAUGGAGUGGAAGCUACCCACAAGGUUUACCCAGAGUUCCAGUCUCUUCGUGCUGUGAAGAUCCAGCAAGUCCAUAGAACUGGGUCCAGCUCACAAAAACAAGGUUAUAGAGGUUAUGGAGGUUGUGAAGAUGUUGGAGAUUGAGCUUCGAAUUGGAUAGAUUUUGCCCAAGUUCUUUCAGGAGCUCAUCGAGUACAUUCAUGCUUGCUUAUGCAUUUGAUCCUUCAAUCAUAUCAAUUUCUGACUUCCAACAACAUCCCCUCAAAUCAGAUGCCAAAGGACACAUCUAAGGAGUUAAUGUAAAGUAGUUGGUUCUAACUGCACGCCAUCUUUAGUUAUCUAAUGUUUAUAUUUGGCUGUCUUAAUAAGCUUAACCACAUCAAUGGUAUACCCGCAGCAUUGCACGGGGUCGAUGCCUAGUUUAUUUACUAAAUAUGUAUGUGUUACUAUAAUUUGAUGAAAUUAUCUGAAUUGGUUUUGAUUCA